GUGGGGAGCUGCGAAUAAGCUUUGAUCCAUGGAUCUCCGAAUGGGGGAACCCACCUUAAAUGCUUGGAAAAUUUAAGUCGUGCGCAAGUACGGCUUAGGUUUCCAAGCAUUGUUUAAAGGUAUCUUACUCUGAAUACAUAGGGGUAAGAAGCGAACGCAGGGAACUGAAACAUCUAAGUACCUGCAGGAAAGGACAUCAACCGAGACUCCGCAAGUAGUGGCGAGCGAACGCGGACCAGGCCAGUGGCAAUGAGGA
rnacentral:rRNA from 1 species